rnacentral:rRNA from 1 species
UACGUAGGGUGCAAGCGUUGUCCGGAAUUAUUGGGCGUAAAGAGCUCGUAGGCGGUCUGUCGCGUCGAAUGUGAAAACCCGGGGCUCAACCCCGGGCCUGCAUUCGAUACGGGCAGACUAGAGUUCGGUAGGGGAGACUGGAAUUCCUGGUGUAGCGGUGAAAUGCGCAGAUAUCAGGAGGAACACAGGUGGCGAAGGCGGCAUCCUGGACCAACACUGACGCUGAGGAGCGAAAGCGUGGGGAGCGAACAGG